GACGAACCGUGCGAACGUUGUUCGGAAUCACUGGGCUUAAAGGGCGCGUAGGCGGUCGGGCAAGUCCGGGGUGAAAUCCUGCAGCUUAACUGUAGAAGUGCCUUGGAUACUGCCCGGCUCGAGGGAGGUAGGGGUCUGUGGAACUUCUGGUGGAGCGGUGAAAUGCGUUGAUAUCAGAAGGAACGCCGGUGGCGAAAGCGACAGACUGGACCUCUUCUAACGCUGAGGCGCGAAAGCUAGGGGAGCAAACGG
rnacentral:rRNA from 1 species